UGAAUACGAGAUGCUACGGCGUCGAAGCAGUCUAUGUCAUACUUCCAAGAAAAGCUCGCACUGUCAUAAACAAAUAAUGCCUGUACCAUAACCGACACAGGUGGGUAGGUAGAGUAUACUAAGGGGCGCGAGAUAACUCUCUCUAAGGAACUCGGCAAAAUGACUCCGUAACUUCGGGAGAAGGAGUGCCUUAUUUAUAAGGUUGCAAUAACAAGAUCCAAGCAACUGUUUAUCAAAAACACAGGUCUCCGCUAAGUCGUAAGACGAUGUAUGGGGGCUGACGCCUGCCCAGUGCCAGAAGGUUAAAGAAGUUGGUUAGCAUUCGCGAAGCUGAUAACUGAAGCCCUGGUGAACGGCGGCCGUAACCAUAACGGUCCUAAGGUAGCGAAAUUCCUUGUCGGGUAAGUUCCGACCCGCACGAAAGGCGUAAUGAUUUGGAUACUGUCUCGGAGAGGGGCUCGGUGAAAUAGACUUGUCUGUGAAGAUGCGGACUACCUGCACCAGGACAGAAAGACCCUAUGAAGCUUUACUGUAACUUGAGAUUGAAAUUGGACUUUACUUGCGCAGUAUAGGUGGGAGGCGUUGAUAACAUUCUUGCGGGAUUAUUUGAGCCAUCAGUGAGAUACCACUCUUGUAAUGUUAGAUUUCUAACUUUGUAUCAUUAUCUGGUCAAAGGACAGUUUCAGGCGGGCAGUUUGACUGGGGCGGUCGCCUCCUAAGCGGUAACGGAGGCGCACAAAGGUUUCCUCUGAACGGGUAGAAAUCGUAUCUAGAGUGUAAAGGCAUAAGGAAGCUUGACUGUGAGACCUACAAGUCGAGCAGGGACGAAAGUCGGUCUUAGUGAUCUGACGGUGCUGAGUGGAAAGGCCGUCACUCAACGGAUAAAAGUUACUCUAGGAUAACAGGCUGAUCUCCCCCAAGCGUUCACAUCGACGGGGAGGUUUGGCACCUCGAUGUCGGCUCAUCGCAUCCUGGGGCGGUAGUACGUCCCAAGGGUUGGGCUGUUCGCCCAUGAAAGCGGUACGCGAGCUGGGUUCAGAACGUCGUGAGACAGUUCGGUCCAUAUCCGGUGUAGGCGUUAGAAUAUUGAGAGGAGCCUUCUUUAGUACGAGAGGACCGAGAAGGACAUACCUCUGGUGUACCAGUUAUCGUGCCAACGGUAAACGCUGGGUAGCUAUGUAUGGAGUGGAUAACCGCUGAAAGCAUCUAAGUGGGAAGCCCACCUCAAGAUAAGUAUUC
rnacentral:rRNA from 1 species